rnacentral:rRNA from 1 species
AUGACUCAACCCAAGAGGGCAGGUGGUAUUGGAUUUAGGGAUAUACACAUGUUCAACAUUGCGUUGCUCGCGAAACAAGGUUCGAGACUAUUACAGAACCCGAACAGCUUGUGUGCUAGAGUACUGAAGUAGAAAUAUUACCCGCACGGAAAUCUUCUGGACAUGGUGUUUGCCUCCGAUUCGUCACCGGUUUGGCGAGGAGUUGAAGCUGGUUUGGAGCUCUUGAAGAAAGGAAUAAUUUGGCGGGUGGGAGAUGGCACAAACAUCCAGAUCCAAAGAGAUCAAUGGAUCCCUCAUAAGGAAGGCCUAAGGACUGCAACUUUCAUUAGGAGGUCCACAUUGCGUUGGGUGAACUAG